UGAGGGCAAAGUUGAUCAACCUAAGUUUUACAGCAUCCUCAGUGAGCUGUUGAAGCUACAUUGUGGCGCAUACUUUCUCAAAUUUUCUUAUAAAAAUGUAUGCAUCCUCGAUUUCGGUGAAUUUGGAAAGCAUGUUUAUGAUCUGAGGUUUAAUUUCAAAAUUGGCAUCAGUUUGUGACAGUUGGAUACAUGAGGGUUAGG
rnacentral:lncRNA from 1 species